GACGUAGGGCGCGAGCGUUGUCCGGAUUUAUUGGGCGUAAAGAGCUCGUAGGCGGCUUGUUGCGUCGACUGUGAAAACCCGCGGCUUAACUGCGGGCUUGCAGUUGAUACGGGCAGGCUGAGAUGUUCGUGGAGGGGAGGCUGAAUUCCUGGUGUAGCGGUGAAAUGCGCAGAUAUCAGGAGGAACACCAGUGGCGAAGGCAGGCACUCGUCGG
rnacentral:rRNA from 1 species